CUGGACUGAUGAUGUCAUGUCUUCUUACUGCUAUAACUAACAUCACGGAAGUAACUGCAAGUCUGAUACUGCUGAGAUGAUGAAAGGGAGUGGGAUGGCCUGUCCAGCUGCUUUGAUGUUUGCGUUUGUGAUUCUUAUUUUCACAGGUGUGGGUGCACAAGACUGCAUCAGCAAGAACAGAUAAAUUCCUGUGUUUCUCCUUACCAGGAGAGACUUCUUUCACUGACCGGCACUUUCUGUAACAAAGAACUUUUUACACAGGACAUAUGCAAUGAUGUAAAUGAGGCCGAUCUCUGCCUCACCAGCAAUAAUGUUCCACGAAAAUGCCUUGUAGAAAGUUUAGUGGCUCGAGCCAUG